rnacentral:piRNA from 1 species
UCCAUGAUCUUCUGGCCCGUACAGUCU